rnacentral:rRNA from 1 species
GAUGAACGCUGGCGGCGUGCUUAACACAUGCAAGUCGAACGGAAAGGCCCCAGCUUGCUGGGGUACCCGAGUGGCGAACGGGUGAGUAACACGUGGGUGAUCUGCCCUGCACUGUGGGAUAAGCUUGGGAAACUGGGUCUAAUACCGAAUAUGACCACUUCUUGGAUGUUGUGGUGGAAAGCUCUUGCGGUGUGGGAUGGGCCUGCGGCCUAUCAGCUUGUUGGUGGGGUAAUGGCCUACCAAGGCGGCGACGGGUAUCCGGCCUGAGAGGGUGUACGGACACAUUGGGACUGAGAUACGGCCCAGCCUCCUACGGGAGGCAGCAGUGGGGAAUAUUGCACAAUGGGCGCAAGCCUGAUGCAGCGACGCCGCGUGGGGGACGAAGGCCUUCGGGUUGUAAACUCCUUUCGCUAUCGACGAAGCCACUUGUGGUGACGGUAGGUAGAUAAGAAGCACCGGCUAACUACGUGCCAGCCGCCGCCGUAA